UACUCCUCCCGUCCCGCGGUCGUUAGUGUGUCUGUCUGUCCCGCUCGCGUUCAUCAACUUUACCGUAUCGAAUUAAGUAGAUGGUUAAGAGCGUGCUAAUUUUUUUUUCCGUGGUGGUCUCCGUCAAGGUCUACGUGAAGAAAUGGAGAGUUGCAGACUGCACACUGCUCAAGCCGUCAAACGGUCUGGCGAGUACAACGGAUUCUUCCCGAAGUGUACCGUUGCUUGGUUUGUCCUGUGCAUUUGGUUUUCAUUUGACAGCGGUUUUUUUUCAUUAGUCCUAAGAAGAGUAUGAAUUCGGAAGUAUUCGUGACGUCAUUUUGAACUGAAGGAUUUGCUAAAACCCUAUAGAACAGAAAUACUCAGCAUUUCAGGUUGGUUUAUUGAUCAGUGGUUUAAUAAC